rnacentral:rRNA from 1 species
AGCAGCCGCGGUAAUUCCAGCUCCAAUAGCGUAUAUUAAAGUUGUUGCAGUUAAAAAGCUCGUAGUUGAAUUUCGAGACCGGUUUACUGGUCGUGCUUUUGUACGUACUGGUAUUAUUGGUUUCUCCUUUCUGACGAAUCAUAAUGCCAUUAAUUUGGUGUUUUGGGGAAUCAGGACUGUUACUUUGAAAAAAUUAGAGUGUUUAAAGCAGGCUCACGCUUGAAUACAUUAGCAUGGAAUAACGAAAUAGGACGUUUGAUUUUAUUUUGUUGGUUUCUAGGAUCGACGUAAUGAUUAAUAGGGAUAGUUGGGGGCAUUAGUAUUCAAUUGUCAGAGGUGAAAUUCUUGGAUUUAUUGAAGACUAACUACUGCGAAAGCAUUUGCCAAGGAUGUUUUCAUUAAUCAAGAACGAAAGUUAGGGGAUCGAAGACGAUCAGAUACCGUCGUAGUCUUAACCAUAAACUAUGCCGACUAGGGAUCGGAUGAUGUAAUUUUUA